GACGAAGGUGGCAACCGUUGUUCGGAAUUACUGGGCAUAAAGAGCACGUAGGCGGACUGUUAAGUCGGGUGUGAAAUCCCUCGGCCCAACCGAGGAACUGCGCCCGAUACUGGCGGUCUUGAGGACAGGAGGGGAGCGUGGAAUUCCUGGUGGAGCGGUGAAAUGCGUUGAUAUCAGGAGGAACACCGGCGGCGAAGGCG
rnacentral:rRNA from 1 species